rnacentral:rRNA from 1 species
GUGCCAGCAGCCGCGGUAAUACGAAGGGGGCGAGCGUUAUUCGGAAUCACUGGGCGUAAAGCGUGCGUAGGCUGUUUUGUAAGUCAGAAGUGAAAGCCCAGGGCUUAACCCUGGAAUUGCUUUUGAAACUACAAGACUCGAAUUCGGGAGAGGAUAGCGGAAUUGUCAGUGUAGCAGUGAAAUGCGUAGAUAUUGACAGGAACACCAGUGGCGCAAGCGGCUAUCUGGACCGACAUUGACGCUGAGGCACGAAAGCGUGGGGAGCAAACAGGAUUAGAAACCCUGGUAGUCC